UACAGAGGGUGCAAGCGUUGUUCGGAAUUAUUGGGCGUAAAGCGCGUGUAGGCGGCUUGGCAAGUCGGGUGUGAAAUCCCUCAGCUUAACUGAGGAAGUGCGCCCGAAACUGCUGAGCUUGAAUACCGGAGAGGAUGGCGGAAUUCCCCAAGUAGAGGUGAAAUUCGUAGAUAUGGGGAGGAACACCGGUGGCGAAGGCGGCCUUCUGGACAGUGACUGACGCUGAGAUGCGAAAGCGUGGGGAGCAAACAGG
rnacentral:rRNA from 1 species